AGAGUUUGAUCAUGGCUCAGGAUGAACGCUGGCGGUAUGCCUAACACAUGCAAGUCGUACGAGAGUUUUUAACUCUAGUGGCGGACGGGUGAGUAACACGUGAGAAUUUGCCUUUAGGAGGGGGAUAACAAUUGGAAACGAAUGCUAAUACCCCAUAUGCUUUCGAGUGAAAUGAAUUUUUUAUUUGCCUAAAGAGAAGCUCGCGGCUGAUUAGCUUGUUGGUAAGGUAAGAGCUUACCAAGGCGACGAUCAGUAUCUGGUUUGAGAGGACGAUCAGACACACUGGAACUGAGACACGGUCCAGACUCCUACGGGAGGCAGCAGUGGGGAAUUUUCCGCAAUGGGCGAAAGCCUGACGGAGCAAUACCGCGUGAGGGAAGAAUGCCUAUGGGUUGUAAACCUCUUUUUUCAGGGAGGAAUAAAUGACGUGUACCUGAAGAAUAAGCAUCGGCUAACUCCGUGCCAGCAGCCGCGGUAAGACGGAGGAUGCAAGUGUUAUCCGGAAUCACUGGGCGUAAAGCGUCUGUAGGUGGUUUAAUAAGUCAACUGUUAAAUCUUGAGGCUCAACUUCAAAAUCGCGGCUGAAACUAUUAGACUAGAGUAUAGUAGAGGUAAAGGGAAUUUCCAGUGGAGCGGUGAAAUGCGUAGAUAUUGGAAAGAACACCGAUGGCGAAAGCACUUUACUGGGCUAUUACUAACA
rnacentral:rRNA from 1 species